CACAUCUUGCUUCUAUAUAUACAUAUACAUACCUAAUAUCCAUAUGGGUUCAAGAAAAUCAAGGUGGAUAGAGAGAGACAUCUUGGGUUUCCCCUAGAUGAGAGAUUAGGGUUUUGUUUAUCUCUAGAUAGAGAAAAGGGAGAAAAAGAAAACCCUAAUUUUAAGAGAUAGAGAGAUCAAAGAAGAAGAUUUAGAAGAUGGGUUUUUUUUUGGGGUAUGAAAAAAAGAAAGUGGGAAUUGAGAGAAAAGCACAAAAGACCAAGAGAGAAUUGAAAGAGCUGACAGAAGAGAGUGAGCACACACUAAACCUAAUUGUAUGAGAAAUUUUUCUUAAAAAAAGUUGAAAGUUCAUACCUUUACUUAGUGUGAGCUUCUCUAAUAUAAUUUCUUUUGAAGGAGACAAAGGAGAAAAAAACUACACGUCAAGGCUCAAAGGGUAAGGGAGAAAAUUGUGUGUCUCAAUUCUCUAGAAAAUUAGGUAUGCUCUGUGAAAUUCUCUUUAUAUUCUCAAAGAUUAUAUUCAACUGAUCACAUAUUUUAAGAGUACUAAUUAUUUUUAUUUCUCUAGUGCUUCCAUAAAUUUGUCAAAUUAAAUCAAUCAAAGAUCAUUUUAAUUAAUAGUAAAAUGUUGUUCUUUCGUUUUAAAGACGUUUGCUUUAAAUUUGCAUGUGUUUGUUUAAUGCUGUGUUUUAAUUUCCUCUUUCCUCUACUUAUUGAAGCCUUAUCUCUUCCCCUCUUUCUCUUUUGCCCUCAUCCUAUAGUUUUUCGGACUUAUUUCUUAUGGAGAAUGUUACAAAACUGUCUACUACUGAAAAUAUUUUGGUAUAUCGAUUGACCCAAUCCUAACUUUUUUUGUCGAUCUAGUUAUAGAAUUAGAGUAUUGUUCUAGUUGUUCAGUUCAUAAAAUCUUCCAUAUUUGCCAAUUAUUUUAUAGGAUCAUCUCUCCUAUCCUACGUUAGUAUUAGUUCAUUUUUUGAUCUGAAAUAUGCAAAAUUUAAAAAAAAAAA